UAAUUCGAAGAUGGGUACCGUUUUUUAUUUUCAAAAGAAUGUUCCGGUGAAGCACAUACAAGCCAACACAUAUAUGAGUAUGUGGAAUCUUGUAUUCAACAAGUUGGUCCUGAGAAUGUUGUUCAAGUUGUGACCGAUAAUGCCACAAAUAACAUGGGGGUAGCGAAGUUGCUAAAAGAGAAAAGACCAUCUAUUUUUUGGACAUCAUGUGCAACACAUACCAUUAACCUCAUGCUUGAAGGUAUCGGAGCACUCCCAAGGUUUAAGAAAAUCCUAGAUCAAGCAAAGAAACUAACCAUAUUCAUUUACGCUCACCACAAAACCUUGGUGAUGAUAAGAAGUUACACCAACAAAAGGGAAAUUAUCCGACCGGGAGUCACAAGAUUUGCUUCGGCCUUUCUAACAUUACAAAGUUUGUCCGAAAAAAGGAACAACUAAGACAUAUGUUCUCUAGCAACAAAUGGGAGGAAUGUAAAUUUUCCGGUAAGCCUAAAGGGAUCGCCUCAUAUAAAACGGUGACAAGUGUUCAAUUUUGGUCCGGUGUGACACAAUGUUUAAAAGUGUUCUCUACUUUGGUGAAAGUCCUUCGAAUGGUUGAUGCGGAUUGGAAGCCCUCAAUGGGUUUUGUUUAUGGGGAGAUUAAAGUUGCAAAAGAAGAAAUUAUCAAAUCUUUGGGUGGUAACGAGAAACACUACAAGCCUAUUAUAGAUAUCAUAAACACAAAGAUGAAAGGUCGACUAGAUUCAACUUUACAUUUGACAUCUUAUCUUUUGAAUCCGUAUUACCAUUAUAAUGAUGCACAACUCCAAUUUGAUCCCGAUGUAAUGGAUGCGGUUCUUGAUUUUUUUGAUACAUUAUUUCUUGGAGAUUUAGAGAUACAAAGGAAAGUCGUAACUAUUGACUUGCCAAAGUACAAGAAGAAGGUUGAUAGAUUUGGCUCCGAUCUUGCAAUUAAACAUUGUAAGGUGAAUGAUGCCGACUUUGAUCCGGGUAAUUCGUUUUCCUUUUAGUUAUCUAUUUAUCUAUUUUAUAAAAUUUUGAUAUUUAUCGAUUAAUAAUGUGUUUUUGUUUCAAAAUCAUAGCUAGUUGGUGGGGACUAUUUGGUGGCACAACUCCUCAUUUGACAAAGAUUGCAAUGAGGAUUCUUUCUUUAACUAGUAGUUCAUCAGGUUGUGAAAGGAAUUGGAGCACGUUUGAAGGGGUACACACAAAGAAACGAAAUAGAUUGGAGACAAGCAAAUUGAACAAUCUUGUUUAUGUUCAAUUCAAUGCUAAUUUAAUGGAGAAAAACAAAAAGAGAAAAGAUAGAAACAUAGAAGUGCUAUUAUCAAAUCAUUCUCUCUUCGCUCAAGAAUGGAUUGUUGAUUGCGAUGAUUGUGAUGUAGAUGAAGUAGACCCCAAAACGGUUGAUGAAACUCUUGAAACCGAUGUUAGUCAAGCACCCCGAGAAAGUCCAAAAACGAGGGAACUUUUUGAUGAAGAUUUUGAGUCCGAGAGUGAGGAUCAAGUGUUAGAAGAAGACGAAUAUGAGUCGGAUGGGGUUCAAAUAAUGGAAGUAUGUGGUGAAGAUUAGAAGAAAAUUGUUGUGCUUGUUAAAACUUAUUUUAAACUUUUAUGGACUUGUUGGAUAUGAUUUGGUGUGCUUGUUAAACUUAUUAUUAAACUUUUAUGUUUAUUUUGGAUGAUAAAUGGUUGUGUUU